rnacentral:rRNA from 1 species
GAUGAACGCUGGCGGCGUGCUUAACACAUGCAAGUCGAACGGAAAGGCCAGUGCUUGCACUGGUGCUCGAGUGGCGAACGGGUGAGUAACACGUGGGUGAUCUGCCCUGCACUUUGGGAUAAGCCUGGGAAACUGGGUCUAAUACCAGAUAGGACCAUGCUUUGGAUGGUGUGGCGGAAAGUUUUUUCGGUGUGGGAUGAGCUUGCGGCCUAUCAGCUUGUUGGUGGGGUAAUGGCCUACCAAGGCGUCGACGGGUAGCCGGCCUGAGAGGGUGUACGGCCACAUUGGGACUGAGAUACGGCCCAGACUCCUACGGGAGGCAGCAGUGGGGAAUAUUGCACAAUGGGCGCAAGCCUGAUGCAGCGACGCCGCGUGGGGGAUGACGGCCUUCGGGUUGUAAACUCCUUUCGCAACUGACGAAGCUUUUUGUGACGGUAGGUUGAGAAGAAGCACCGGCUAACUACGUG